rnacentral:rRNA from 1 species
UACGGAGGGUGCAAGCGUUAUCCGGAUUCACUGGGUUUAAAGGGUGCGUAGGUGGGCAGGUAAGUCAGUGGUGAAAUCUCUGGGCUUAACCCAGAAACUGCCGUUGAUACUAUCUGUCUUGAAUAUAGUGGAGGUGAGCGGAAUAUGUCAUGUAGCGGUGAAAUGCUUAGAUAUGACAUAGAACACCCAUUGCGAAGGCAGCUCGCUACACUAUUAUUGACACUUGAGGCACGAAAGCGUGGGGAUCAAAACAGGG